rnacentral:rRNA from 1 species
CGGCCCAGACUCCUACGGGAGGCAGCAGUGGGGGAUAUUGCACAAUGGAGGAAACUCUGAUGCAGCGACGCCGCGUGAGGGAAGAAGGUCUUCGGAUUGUAAACCUCUGUCUUUGGGGACGAAUCNNUGACGGUNCCCAAGGAGGAAGCCACGGNUAANUACGUGCCNGCANCCGCGGUAA